CCAAUAGCGUAUAUUAAAGUUGUUGCAGUUAAAAAGCUCGUAGUUGAAUUUCGGGAUCAAUAUGUCGGUCGUGCCUCGGUACGUACUGGCAUCAUUGGUUUCUCCCUUCUGAUGAACCAUGAUGCCAUUAAUUUGGUGUCGUGGGGAAUCAGGACUGUUACUUUGAAAAAAUUAGAGUGUUUAAAGCAGGCUCACGCUUGAAUACAUUAGCAUGGAAUAAUGAAAUAGGACGUUUGAUUCUAUUUUGUUGGUUUCUAGGAUCGACGUAAUGAUUAAGAGGGAUAGUUGGGGGCAUUAGUAUUCAAUUGUCAGAGGUGAAAUUCUUGGAUUUAUUGAAGACUAACUACUGCGAAAGCAUUUGCCAAGGAUGUUUUCAUUAAUCAAGAACGAAAGUUAGGGGAUCGAAGACGAUCAGAUACCGUCGUAGUCUUAACCAUAAACUAUGCCGACUAGGGAUCGGAUGAUGUUAAUUUUUUAAUGACUCAUUCGGCGCCUUAC
rnacentral:rRNA from 1 species